AGUUUGGCAGAAUAACCACAUUUCUUCCUUUUCAUAAAUUAUUCCAAUACAAUGAAAACAAGAAAAUAAAUCCAAACUCCACCUUUAACAAAAGUAGAGACAUGUGCACUUGCAAAUCUCAAAAUAUGAAGACAGAAAAUGGAUGCAGAAAAGCUCUUUCCUUAAGUAUGAAGAGACGACCCAAGAGCUGUCACUGCUCUGGGUGAAUUGUGUGUUUAUUGGCCAACGUGCUCGACCACUUUAUGAAAGUGACACCUGCAAUGAUUGUCUACACCAUGCUCGGUGGGUAAAUGGGGGUUUAAAAGUUGAAGAAAAAGCAUCAUUAUCUUCUUUCUUUGGUGAUUGGAUAUCUGGAGAAAGGAUGGAUUUGAACACUCAUGCUUGUAGAACAUUUAAUUCUAUUUUUAGCCAUCUUUCAUUGGCGGAUGAGAUUUGCAGGGAUGGGGAGCAAAAUUAUGGAGGAUGUCUAAAAAAUGUGGACUCACUGCUCCUUAUCUUCUGCUUCAUAAGAUGAAAGGUAGUUCUCAAGAUAAGUAAAAGCAGAAAAUACUUUCUGGAGAUUUGUCCUUUAGAAUCUUAUUGCCUCCGUUUGUCUUUUGACAUCCAAGUUAAUUGUCUUGGUAACAGAAUUAAUAAGGGGAGUCAAGAACACAGAAAAGUAGCUGCCUUGUCCAGACAGCGGGCUGGAUGUGAGUAACAGCCUACAGGAGGGCAGCACACGUGGAGCCAGCACAUGUUGUGCUGUUUCAAGACUGCGUUAACGUCCUCAUGCUGCAAAGUCAUGAUUUAAACCCUCCUGAGAGACUCAACUUCCCAAAAGACCCGACAUCAUAAAAGAAGCUUUCACAUUGGUGCUUGUAAUACGUUGUUCGCUGUUAUCUCAGGGCAAGUUCUCACCUGGCCUAUAAAAAGAAAGGAGACAAUGGCUAUACAUUGAAAAACACACACGUGUCUUAGAUGAGGAAACGGAGUCACAAAGGAGCUGUGUCAUUUGCCCAGGAUCAUGAGAAUUCUAUUGGGUGCUGAAGGAUGACAAAGAGAGGUCACCCCCUCCGACCAGAAUGUUGAUUAUACUUUUUAAAGAAAAGACUCAUCGAUGAUAAUUGAAAAAGAAUCUGUGAUGGCUAAGUUUGUGACAGAAUUAGAUGAAGUAAGAGCCAUUUUGAUGUAUUAUCAAGAAGUUUGAAGUGGAUUUCUGUCCCUCCCAAUGAGAAGAAGGCCUUCGUGUGUUACACCAAGCAGCUUGGUCUCCAAGACAUCCUUUAUAGUCUUUUUAACACUGCACUGGAUUCCACACUACUGGAGAUAGUUGAUUAGCAGUCCAUGCCUUUAAGACAAUGAUUUCCAGACGUGCUCUCUGUACACGGGCAGGAAAAAUGACGAUUACCUUCUGGACUUUUAUAUGUACAUAGUUAUUGUUCUCUGGUUACAAAUGUAACUGUGGAUGGUUAGCUUUUAUGUAAGAUUUUAAUCCCUCUCUCAUUUUUUCUACUGGAUACCUUUAUCCACACUAAUUAUGAUGGGCCAACCAGAACCUUGUGUAGAUCAUUAAACAAGUAAGAUAUCACAAUAUUCUGCAGACAUAAUUCAUCAUAAUGUCUGUGGUGAGAGAGUUCAGGGUAUUAAGACUUUCAUUUUCAUGCUGGUGGACAUACAGACACAAAUAACGAGCUAAAGAUUCUAGAUUUAUGCACAGUGGCACCAUGAAAAAUGUAGGAUUUUUGACAGAAAAAUGUCCCCCCAAAACUUAUUAUCAAUAGUCUACAUGUUGUAAAGUUAUGACCAGUUGAAGAAUAUCUGGAUUCCUAGGAAAUCAGAAGAGAUUGCUAUCUGCACACACCUUGUUCUAUAGACGGCAUUGUUCUUCUAAGUGACAGCUGAGUGUCAUCUGACACGUCACCAUGUGCAGAACUUGUAUGGUGUUUGUUCAUUCCUAAUAUAUCCAAACAGAUUCAAAAGCCAGGAAUUUCUUAACAUGGCCAUCUGUUAAGCAUCUCCCUUUUGGUACAUUAUCUCCAAAUAGACAAUGAAUUACCUUAGCAAUUAUUGCC
ensembl:lncRNA